rnacentral:rRNA from 1 species
AUGGCACAGUCAGUUCCAUCUGCAAGUGUUGCAUCUCAUUGUCAACAGUGGUGGUGGUGUGCUACCGCCUACCAUCACCACUGCAGCCUCUCAAACACAUGUGCACCACUCCAUGGAAGAAGAAGGGGACAUCAAACGUCGAGCGUCAAGCUGAUACGCAUCGCUGUGACCAUCUUGUUCACUCUUUUCUUGGGCGUGCGCAUCAAACUGAUACAGUGGCGUGCGCAUGCGCAUGCGCGCUCUGAAACUGCAAUCGGUGUGACCUGCCCACUGGCGCUCACGCGGAAGGCGCUGCCUAUAAGAGGCGUGCUUAUGCGUGCGGAUACGCAUAAGCCACAGGCUCGUGAUUGA